AGUGCUCGGUGCUGGUGGUGCAUCGGGAAGUGGUGCUGACGGUAGCAAAACUCUCUUCAAAGAGUCCACCAGCUCUUGAAUGGGAUCGGGAGUGCUCAUGCUGUUAACUGUAAAUGGUCCGGUCUUCUGUUAGGGAAGCAGACGGACAAACAGGGAUGGAUGAUAGGCAAAGAGGAAGACCGAAUGCACACACCAGAUGACUUGCGGGGAAGACAGACAGAUGACACACACACCUUUGACUGGACGCUGGGAACACUGGACAGACUGGAGACAAACAGAGAUUAGAGGUUUCCAUAAUCCUGGACCAGGCCAUAUCCUGAGCAGCUGCU